AUUGAACGCUGGCGGCAGGCUUAACACAUGCAAGUCGAGCGGAGCGAGGGUGCUUGCACCUUAGCUUAGCGGCGGACGGGUGAGUAAUGCUUAGGAAUCUGCCUAUUAGUGGGGGACAACAUUCCGAAAGGAAUGCUAAUACCGCAUACGCCCUACGGGGGAAAGCAGGGGAUCUUCGGACCUUGCGCUAAUAGAUGAGCCUAAGACGGAUUAGCUAGUUGGUGGGGUAAAGGCCUACCAAGGCGACGAUCUGUAGCGGGUCUGAGGGGAUGAUCCGCCACACUGGGACGGAGACACGGCCCAGACUCCUACGGGAGGCAGCAGUGGGGAAUAUUGGACAAUGGGCGGAAGCCUGAUCCAGCCAUGCCGCGUGUGUGAAGAAGGCCUUUUGGUUGUAAAGCACUUUAAGCGAGGAGGAGGCUACUUAGAUUAAUACUCUGGGAUAGUGGACGUUACUCGCAGAAUAAGCACCGGCUAACUCUGUGCCAGCCGCCGCAGUAA
rnacentral:rRNA from 1 species